GUCUAUUAAUGCUUUAUAAAUGAUGAAUUAUCCGUUUACUAAUGCUUAAUUAAUGAUUAAUAGUGUGCAGUUAUUAUAAAGUGUUACCCCACCCUUUUGCCACACAUGACCUGCCCACUUGCGCGCGCACGUUUGAUUUGAGGAAUUCAAGAGACACGGAUCCUAGGAAUACCAAAACAAUGGCAGAGAAACAGCAAGCAAAAUUCACAGUACCGGCCUAUGCAGUUACUGAAGGCAAACCAGGCAAAAAAAGGAAGACAGUAACAGUACAAGAAAAGGCAAUGAACAAAAAGUCUUUGGAUAAACAUAGAAAUAAAACGUGAGUUAAUAUCGGCGUGGCUUUCCAGCGAUGGCGAGAACUGAGGGAACUCAAGGGGCUGAAAAGUGACUCCUUGAUGGCUUUAUUUCUGCUGGACAGUUAUGAGAAAGACAUAUCAACGUCCACACCAUCGAAAAGUGGAUUUACAAUGGCACCACCACCUGUAUCCACUAUUGUCUCGGAGUCGCUUUCUGACCGAGAUGAUGACUUCUCAGUCCCUGGAGUUGAAGAGUUGGAUAGUAGCAGCGUACAGGAUAAAAACAUUCAUUACAUGUGAUUCUGACAUGAUGUCACUACAUGCACUGUGCUCCUUCCUCUCCGCUCGUCUCAGGUAAAUAAUGCGUCUUCCAGCUCAGUGGUCGGAGUCGCGCGUUCAUGUGUUUUGGGGGCGUGGCUUUGGAAGGAGCCCAGAAGGGAGGGGGUGGAGUGAAUGGAAAUAAUGAGCUGUCUUUAAAACAGUCGUGAGAGGUCUACAGACACUCGAUUUUUAUACUUUCUUUUUCAGAGUACUUACAUUUUAAUUAUGUAUUGAUUAUAUAUAUAAAGUUUAAACAAAUUUGGAAAAAAAAGUUUUUUAUACAUUUUUUUCCUACCCUGCCUUUAAAGGAAUUAGUUAAAAUCCAAAUAUUAUUAAUUAAUAAAGUUUUAUUUUAAUAAUAAUAAAAAAGCUUUUAUUAAUUUCAAACCAAGAAAAUACAUUUACAUUUCACAUUCAAAGAAAAACUUUGUUUGUAACACGUAUAAACAUUUAACACGUUUGAAGAAUUGU
ensembl:lncRNA